AUCAAAAUGACGAGAUUUAAAAGUUGUGGUAUAUUUGGUAAAAACACUAAAACAUUGUGGGUGAAAAAAGUGGCGCAUUUUCUAAAAUGGCAGAAAAAGCGUGAUCUCCUCGACGACGAAGAAUGUGUAAAUGUAAUCAUAUAUUUUCAUUUAUUAAUGUUGAUAAGAUGCAGAAGCUGCAGAGUUCGGAGAGGAUUUAGGAUCUUACAAAUUUGGCGAUCAAACCUAUCAGCUCUUCCAUUUUGACAUUAUAUUAACAUAUUUUUGCAGUUGUUUUGUUGAUCUCUUACUAUUUGUGUAUAUUGUCCUUAAUCUUUUUGACAUUGUUGGCAUUACAAUGUGCAAUGUGCUUACUGUUUAUUGACAAAAAUGGCAAUACAUUUAGUUUGCCAAUUCCUAAUUCAUGACCUAAGCCUGAAUUUUGGAUGUGUUUUAUAGCAUUCUGCAAUUUUGAUCUUGACUGGGAUACACAUUUAGCUACUGAAUUUAGAGUUCUUUGUUUCCUAGUUUCAUCAUUCAUGAGCAGACGCGGCUGAACAAGUUCUUUCCUCAGAUGCACUUGCAACUUCAGUUAGCAUGGGACAAGGCUUAUUUUUCUGGUUUCUCACUCUGGCUAUAUUAACUGGCUGGUAUUAUGCCUUUACAUGGCACUUCCCUUUUUUGUGCGCAGGGUAUCAAGCAGCAAGCUUCUGACCUGUUUGGAUAAGUUAAUAAUACCUGCUUUUUAUCAGCUUCCUGAGGAUCGGAAGCUUAAUUUGCUUAAAGCACUUGAAGAAAUUUCACCAUGCACUCUGCCACAGGAGUCACACCAGAUUUUUCUUUCCAUUGCUCAAUUGUUAAAGGCCGAGUAAUGUAGAGGAGCUAACCAAGGCUCCCAUGAAAAAAAAAUGACUCAGGGAAUGGCUGAACACAAUAGAGCAAUGGCAGCUGCAAAGACUGAUUGGUCCAACUAAUUUCAGGAACUUCUAUUAUCUUUCAGUAUAUGGAUUUGAUGUUGUAACAUGUGUUUCAGAUUUUAUUACAUUAAUAGGAACCUUCGUUUUCUCAGGAUUGAUUGUCCGUCCUUUGUUUUUGGGGCUGCCACGUGCAGAAGAUUUGCAAAUGCAUGUCGUUUAGAGGAUUUCAGUCACAAUGGGAUGUAUGAGACUAUUAGGGUUUCUCGAGAAGUCUGCAUUCAUCUAUCACUAUUCAGAAGUGCAAGCGAAGUGGAAUAAUUCACGCACCUAUAGGGUAAAAGAGGGAUGGUUGAUUUAAAUAGGUCAUCAACAGAUAUUACCAAUCCAUCAUUCUUGAACCAAUAAGCUGUAGCUCAAAUGGUAUAAGCGUUAGGCAGCAAACUGCUAAAUCGUGGGUUCGAUUCCUCCUACAAGCGCUCCCCCUCCCUAAUUAUCAAAAAAAAAAACAAAAAUUAUCAUUCUUGAUAUAUCAAACGGUAUGCAGCAAUAUGUUUAUUAGAAAUAUGGCUUGCCUUUAGCCCUAACUCCAUGCAAAAUCCAUGUAUUAUAUA